CUUUUCAAAUUUUUAUAGGUUUUAGUCAUACACAAAGUUUUUGUGAUACAUAAUAUGGGUUGACAUCUUAAAAAACUGAAUAGCCUUUUCUUGUUAAUUUGUACCAAGAACCACAGCUUAUGUGACAUAUUUUAGGUGUUUGCUGUGGCAGCUCCCCAUUUUUGUAUACGUCUCACUAUUAGGCAACUCUGACUGUGGAAACAAACAACACCAAUACUUUAAGACUGACAGAAACAAGUAUGUAUUUAUCAAUCGCAUUAAACGAUGGUUGCAGAUUAGAUGUUGUUUUGCUGAGUUCUGCCAGCACUGCUAUUCUUCACAAGCCGUUUCUUUCCAGAAUGCAUGCUGAAGGAGCAACCCUGAUAGACGAUAUGUGGUAUGCAUGGCAGAGGGCAGAAUUUCAAGAGACAGAGGCAGAACACGACACCUAGUGAACUCCACCACUAUGUUCCUAAUGGAGAGGAAAAGGGGUCAGAGUUUUUUUUCCAAUAUAUCGAGACAGCACAAGACGGGUAGUUCAGACUAUCUCUCUACAUUGGUUGCAGUACCAGACUGGCUAGCCAUGGCGGACUUGUACUUACUAUUGAAGCUGAUUUUGCUGUCUCCUCUUCUCCGUGUAAGUUGAGUGUUGUUCCAUUCAAUGCCUGUGUUUAAGUGUCUUGGUAAUCUUGACACCUACAAAUUAUGCAGUGGAUUAACAACAUAGAACUGCUGUGUUCUUUGGCGUCCUUCUUGUAGCAGGACUCAUCAAGCCCUCAAGAACAGGACUGCUUUUAUAAAUGGAACUGAGAGAGCUCCCUUGUCCUUUCUGUCAUGUGAAGAUGCAGGGAGAAGAUAGUCAUCCCUGAACCAGAAAGCAGGCCCACACCAGACACCAAAUCUGCUGGUGCCUAGAUAUUGAACUUCCCAGGCUCUAAAACUGUAAGAAAUAAAUUUCUGUUGUUAUAAGCCACCCAGUCCAUGGGAUUUUGUUAUAGGAGCCCAGUAGAAUAAACAAGGGUACCUAUCUGUGCUUUUUAAAAAUACAUAUUUACUGGUUUUUAAAUUAAUUUGUCUAUAUUUUAACUACAUAAAUACACGUAAGUUUCCCUUCUGAAAAGAUAAGGAAGUAAACCAAAUUUUAAAAAUGUGAAUAUGUGAGUAAGUGUCUUGAAACAAAGUCCAGGGAAAAUGCAGGAGCCAUAUUCCAAGAAAUACUGCAUUAUCAAUGCUCUCAUUCUGUAGUACAAAAAAUAAUGAUUUUUCUUUUUAUUUUUAAUGCAGAAAUUAAAGUACCUUUUUACAAGCAAUAGAAUCUUUGAUUUGGUAAAAUCAUAGCACUCUAAACUUUUUUAUAUGAAAGAAACAUCUAUAAAUUAAAGGUGUCUUCAAAAGUAAAAGUAGAAUUGAACGUAUAUUAAAGCAAAAAUUAUAUAUACAUGUAUGUAUUUGUGUGUAUACGUGUGUGUGUAAGUUUAAAGUUUCUUGCUGUAUUAGGAUUCUAAAUAAAAACAAUUCGUCAACCCUCAAGUUUUUCCAUGUAGACCUACUCUAAAGAGUGAUUUCAUUUUUGAUUUAUUAAUUUAAACUGCAUGAAAUUACUGGUAUUUGGGCAAUUUUGACCUACAAAAGCAGCAGUUUCAUAAGGUCCAGCUAAUAUUUCCAAAUACUCAAAUGUCUCAUAUGUGAUAGAGCAUUAAAUACAAUUCUGUAUAUUCUGCCUUCAUUAUUCUGGGUCUUUACCGGGAAAGCCUCAUGGGUCUAAACCUUACUUAAUCAAUGUGAGAGAAGUAAUUCUCACUCAGAGAGGCUAUUGGGGACAGGAUGGCUUUGUGUGACGACAGGGACAAAAGAGUAAGGCAUAUCUCACUUACCUGCCUUUAGUUCCUAACUAGUUGUUUUGAAUGGAGAUGAAUACAUGUGUUUGAGAACACAUACAAUUUCAAACAUCCUUUGUAUACAAUUUCCUUUUUUUAAACCUAUUUUUAUGGAUUAGAACCGUAAUAAUAUAAUGCAAAUUGAGCAGCAUUGAAACUCACCUCCCAGAAUGUAAGAUAUCUAUGUGAGCUUGAUCUAGCCUAUAAAAGAAAACAAAGCAUCCAUUCUGCUGAUGGAAUCUUGUAAAUAAAAUAUUCAUGGCAAAAGAGAGGUAACAGAGGAGCUAGACAAACAGAUCAGCUGAGUUUAUGAUCUUUUUUUUUUUUUUUUUUUUUUGAGACGGAGUCUCGCUCUUUCUCCCAGGCGGACUGCAGUGGCGCUAUCUCGGCUCACUGCAAGCUCCGCCUCCCGGGUUCACGCCAUUCUCCUGCCUCAGCCUCCUGAGUAGUUGGAACUGCAGGCUCCUGCCACCGUGCCCGGCUAAUUUUUUGUAUUUUUAGUAGAGACUGGGUUUCACCGUUUUAGCCAAGAUGGUCUCAAUCUCCUGACCUUGUGAUCCGCCCGCCUCGGCCUCCGAAAGUGCUGGGAUUACAGGCGUGAGCCACCGCGCCCGGCCAGUUUAUGAUCUUGACAGAAGACAGUAGUUUUCUGGAUUGAACACAGAUCACGUCAGAGGGAAGCAAUGGUGGCUCCACACAAAAGAGAAGUAGCAUGCAGUUACAGAGCGCCAGGCAAAACACCUUGACGCUCCACACCGUGGUCUUAUCCUGAAAACCUUUCCGCUAUCCCUGUGAUGUCUUCCUCCUCCAAAUUUUAUCAAUAUCUUGCUAAAUUCUUGAGACAUAGAGACUACACUCCCAGUGUGUCCGGAAUUGGUGGGUUCUUGGUCUCACUGACUUCAAGAAUGAAGCCGCGGACCCUGGCGGUAAGUGUUACAGCUCUCAAGGUAGCGCAUCUGGAGUUUGUUCCUUCUGAUGUUCGGAUGGGUUUACGAGUUUCUUCCUUCUGGUGGGUUCGUGGUCUCGCUGGCUCAGGAGUGAAGCUGCAGACCUUCGCGGUGAGUGUUACAGCUCUUAACGCAGCGCGUCUGGAGUUGUUCGUUCCUCCCGGUGGGUUCGUGGUCUCGCUAGCUCAGGAGUGAAGCUGCAGACCUUCGCGGUGAGUGUUACAGCUCAUAAAAGCAGUGUGGACCCAAAGAGUGAGCAGUAGCAAGAUAUACUGCAAAGAGUGAAAGAACAAAGAUUCCACAGUGUGGAAAGGGACCCGGGCUGGUUGCCACUGCCGGCUCUGGCAGCCUGCUUUUAUUCUUAUCUGGCCCCACCCACGUCCUGCUGACUGGUAGAGCCGAGUGGUCUCAUUGACAGGGCGCCCAUUGGUGCGUUUAUGAUCCCUUAGCUAGACACAAAGGUUCUCCACCUCACCACCAGAUUAGCUAGAUAGAGUAUGGACACAAAGGUUCUCCAAGGCCCCACCAGAGUAGCUAGAUACAGAGUGUGGAUUGGUGCAUUCACAAACUCUGAGCUAGACACAGGGUGCUGAUUGGUGUGUUUACAAACCUUGAGCUAGAUACAGAGUGCCGAUUGGUGCGUUUACAAUCCCUGAGCUAGACAUAAAUGUUCUCCACGUCCCCACCAGACUCAGGAGCCCAGGUGGCUUCACCCAGUGGAUCGCGCACCAGGGCUGCAGAUAGAGCUGCCUGCCAGUCCGGCGCCCUGCGCCCGCACUCCUCAGCCCUUGGGUGGUCGACGGGACUGGGCGCCGUGGAGCAGAGGGCGGCGCUCAUCGGGGAGGCUCGGAGGGCACGGGAGCCCGUGGAGGGCGUGGGAGGCUCAGGCAUGGCGGGCUGCAGGUCCCAAGCCCUGCCCUGCGGGAAGGCAGCCAAGGCCCGGUGAGAAAUCGAGCGCAGCGCUGGUGGGCUGGCACUGCUGGGGGAUCCAGUACACCCUCCGCAGCCGCUGGCCUGGGUGCUAAGCCCCUCAUUGCCCGGGGCCGGCAGGGCCGGCCGGCUGCUCCAAGUGCCGGGCCCGCCAAGCCCACGCCCACCCGGAACUCCAGCUGGCCCGCAAGCGCCGCGCGCAGGCCGGGUUCCCGCUCGCGCCUCUCCCUCCACACCUCCCUAGAAGCUGAGGGAGCUGGCUCCGGCCUUGGCCAGCCCAGAAAGGGGCUCUCGCAGUGCAGCGGUGCGCUGAAGGCCUCCUCAAGUGCCACCAAAGUGGGAGCCCAGGCAGAGGAGGCGCGGAGAGCGAGCGAGGGCUGUGAGGACUGCCAGCACGCUGUCACCUCUCACCAACAGCAAAGCAUCGGGGUGGAUAACGAUCCCUGAUGGAUGUUCAUCUUCCCAACAUGCCUGGACUGUGGGCAGGAUCAUUCAAACAGUGGAGUGACAGGGAGGUGAGGAUUGUCCGGGAAGCCACUCAUGCUAACCUCACUAAUAUAAACAAGUUUUCAAGACCCCCACGUUCAGGGACCUGGAAGAGAAGCCACGUAUGAAACUGUUCCAAAUGAGGCAAAAAGGUGAGCUGUUUCUAAGCCUAUACUGAGAGAGAAACUUAAAUGGAAGAAAAAAUAGUCCAGAGGCUUUAAAUGUGUAAAUGAGUGAGUCGUAUAAUAGUGGAUGUUGAGACAACCUAACAGAGUUAAUACUUUGAGGGAAAGAGGCGAAAAACAGAGCCGAAAAUGAUUGGAGUCAAAUAAUUGUCACCAUUAGUUCAAAUAUUUAUAUUUUAAUACGUGGUUAAGAUACUCAGGGGAGGGAAUCCAGGUGCUUCUGUACUACCUACUUUUUGGUUGUUCUUUUCCCUUGACUCUGUUACAACUACUUUUUCUUCUCACUUAACUGUUCUGCAUUUUUUCCUACCUUCACUCUCUCUCAUGGGACUUAGCUAACAGCCUCAAGAAUGCUUUCUCUCUAUGAAAUGUGUCUUCUAAUUUUAAUUUGUUUGUGUUCUUUGUGUUAAUAAGUCACUUAUAUCAUUAAUGGUGAUAAUUUACAUCGAACAUUCUAAAUGAGAUGUAUGUGAGUUAUUAGCUGGAAUCUUUUGACUGUAUUGUGGCAAAGGAUGGUGAAAACCUGUAUUUAGAAAGAUUUUAUAGUAAGGGACCUUCAUUUUUAAUGAUUAAUGAAAGAGAAAAAAUAAUAUCCUGAUCCCUCCACAGGAAUUUACAUUUAAUUGGUAAAAACUUACAUCAAAUAAUAUCUUCAAACCCCACUGAUGUUUGUGUUUAAAGUACAGUGAAGGAUUUAGAAUGUCCCCACUCAACUCUCCUAUAAAUAAGUGUGUGGCAGGUUUUGGUCAUGAUUGUAAUAGAGAUAGAGAUAUAACUCUUUUGUUUGACAUAUGUAGUAUUGCCAUGUGCUAAAAUAUGAAAUGAGAUCUGGAGAUAUCUUCUGACUAACAAAUGGUUUCUGAAAUUUUAAUGGUAAGAUAUAAAUUAUGUUGUAACAGAAUUUUUAAGAGAG
rnacentral:lncRNA from 10 species